rnacentral:rRNA from 1 species
CCUACGGGUGACAGCAGUGGGGAAUAUUGGACAAUGGGGGCAACCCUGAUCCAGCCAUGCCGCGUGUGUGAAGAAGGCCCUCGGGUUGUAAAGCACUUUCAGUGAGGAAGAACGCCUGGUGGUUAAUACCCAUCAGGAAAGACAUCACUCACAGAAGAAGCACCGGCUAACUCCGUGCCAGCAGCCGCGGUAAUACGGAGGGUGCGAGCGUUAAUCGGAAUUACUGGGCGUAAAGCGCGCGUAGGUGGCUUGAUAAGCCGGUUGUGAAAGCCCCGGGCUCAACCUGGGAACGGCAUCCGGAACUGUCAAGCUAGAGUGCAGGAGAGGAAGGUAGAAUUCCCGGUGUAGCGGUGAAAUGCGUAGAGAUCGGGAGGAAUACCAGUGGCGAAGGCGGCCUUCUGGACUGACACUGACACUGAGGUGCGAAAGCGUGGGUAGCAAACAGGAUUAGAUACCCCUGUAGUC